rnacentral:rRNA from 1 species
UACGGAGGAUGCGAGCGUUAUCCGGAUUUAUUGGGUUUAAAGGGUGCGUAGGCGGAUCGUUAAGUCAGUGGUCAAAUUGAGGGGCUCAACCCCUUCCCGCCAUUGAAACUGGCGAUCUUGAGUGGAAGAGAAGUACGCGGAAUGCGUGGUGUAGCGGUGAAAUGCAUAGAUAUCACGCAGAACCCCGAUUGCGAAGGCAGCAUGCCGGCUUCCUACUGACGCUGAAGCACGAAAGCGUGGGGAUCGAACAGG